rnacentral:rRNA from 1 species
UACGUAGGGGGCAAGCGUUGUCCGGAUUUAUUGGGCGUAAAGAGCGUGUAGGCGGCCAGGUAGGUCCGUUGUGAAAACUCGAGGCUCAACCUCGAGACGCCGAUGGAAACCAUCUGGCUAGAGUCCGGAAGAGGAGAGUGGAAUUCCCGGUGUAGCGGUGAAAUGCGCAGAUAUCAGGAGGAACACCAGUGGCGAAGGCGGUGCUCUGGGCCGGAACUGACGCUGAUGAGCGAAAGCGUGGGGAGCAAACAGG